CUUGACCGAGCCCAGCCAUAGCGGGCGCUGCGCACUCCGGUCCCGACCGUAGGUGGCGAUCAGGGCCUGUGCCUC
rnacentral:antisense_RNA from 1 species